rnacentral:rRNA from 1 species
GAUGAACGCUGGCGGCGUGCCUAAUACAUGCAAGUCGAGCGAAUGGAUUAAGAGCUUGCUCUUAUGAAGUUAGCGGCGGACGGGUGAGUAACACGUGGGUAGCCUGCCCAUAAGACUGGGAUAACUCCGGGAAACCGGGGCUAAUACCGGAUAACAUUUUGAACCGCAUGGUUCGAAAUUGAAAGGCGGCUUCGGCUGUCACUUAUGGAUGGACCCGCGUCGCAUUAGCUAGUUGUUGAGGUAACGGCUCACCAAGGCAACGAUGCGUAGCCGACCUGAGAGGGUGAUCGGCCACACUGGGACUGAGACACGGCCCAGACUCCUACGGGAGGCAGCAGUAGGGAAUCUUCCGCAAUGGACGAAAGUCUGACGGAGCAACGCCGCGUGAGUGAUGAAGGCUUUCGGGUCGUAAAACUCUGUUGUUAGGGAAGAACAAGUGCUAGUUGAAUAAGCUGGCACCUUGACGGUACCUAACCAGAAAGCCACGGCUAACUACGUGCCAGCCGCCGCCGUAA